rnacentral:misc_RNA from 1 species
GCUGAUCUUCAAACCCCAGCUUUUUUUUCCAACCCUAGUCCCAAUUUCAACACAAGUUCUGGUUCAGCUUUUAGGAGGAACCCACAAUUAGCUACUCAUGAGGCUGAUUCACAAUCACCAAGCUCGAUUAUACCGGAGGUUCCACCUGGGUGCGAUAGAAACAAUGUUUAUGUUUAUUCGGAGUAUAAUCGAAUUUCUGAGAUGUUUAAAGAAGCUUUUACUGAGAAAAUGCAGCGGUAUGGAGAUGUUGAGGUGGUUGGAAACCAGAAUCAGGAUUCUGUUGAUGUGGUUAUGGAAGACGCUGAUGCUCGAGCUAUAGUUCCGGUGAGUAAUAAUGAUACACAGGUUGCAGAAGUGGUGGUUGCUAGAAGGAAAUAUCAACAGAGAUCAUCGGAAUUGGUUAGAGUGACAGAUCUUAAGGUUGAAGAUCAGCUUUAUUUUCGAGAGGCUGUUAGGAAAACCCGAAUGCUGUAUGAUUCCUUGCGAAUUCUUGCUAUGGUGGAAGAUGAUGGAAGUCAGCAUUUGGG